GAUGAACGCUGGCGGCGUGCUUAACACAUGCAAGUCGAACGGAAAGGCCCUGCUUUUGUGGGGUUCUCGAGUGGCGAACGGGUGAGUAACACGUGAGUAACCUGCCCUUGACUUUGGGAUAACUUCAGGAAACUGGGGCUAAUAUCGGAUAUGAGCUCCUGCUGCAUGGGGGUGGUUGGAGAGUUUCGGCGGUGGGGGAUGGACUCGCGGGUUAUCAGCUGGUUUGUGGGGUAGGUGCUUACCAAGGCUUUGACGGGUAGCCGGCAUGAGAGGGUGAACGGCGACCUGGGGACUGCGAUAGGGCGCAGACUCCUACGGGAGGCAGCAGUGGGGAAUAUUGCACAACGGGCGGAAGCCAGAUACAGAAACGCCGCGUGCGGGAUGCCGGGUUUUGGGUUGUAAACAGAUGUGGAAGUUGACGAAGAGUUAGUGACGGUAACGGGUAAAGAAGCCACGGCUAACUACGUG
rnacentral:rRNA from 1 species